rnacentral:rRNA from 1 species
UACGUAGGUGGCAAGCGUUAUCCGGAAUUAUUGGGCGUAAAGCGUACGCAGGCGGUCAGAUCAGUCUGGAGUGACAGUCGUCGGCUUAACCGACGAAGUGUUCUGGAAACUGUCUGACUUGAGGGCUUCAGAGGGACACGGAAUUCCGGGUGGAGUGGUGAAAUGCGUAGAUAUCCGGAGGAACGCCAAUGGCGAAGGCAGUGUCCUGGGAAGUACCUGACGCUCAGGUG